rnacentral:tmRNA from 1 species
GGGGGUGCCAUGGAUUCGAUUGUGUAUUGUAGGUUAAUACUGCAUGUCGGAGUUGACGGUCGGCUUCGUUAUCAAACCGUUAAAUAAUAAAUGGCAAUAAUGUCAUAAAUGUUGACUUCAGCAAUGGAGCCAACAGAGCCGCAGCUUAGCUGCGGCCCAUCAUCUUGUUCGACGCUCGAUGGGGCAAGAAUGGUGUCGACUUAUCGAGCGUUCACAUGGAAUUUCGUGGUGUUCCAUGUGAAUAACUUACACCGCGGUAGUUAUGGUAUGAUAUGCCAAUGCAUGAUACCAUAAUGAAAAUUAAUCAUUGGACAAGCAUGUAGGCGUGUUUUCCGAAGAUAUGCAAGACGCGGGUUCAAUUCCCGCCACCUCCACCA